UUCCAAGAUGCUGUUCGACAAAACACCAUGAAAGAAGACGAAGAAGAGGUGGCGGAAGAAGUGUUGUUUUUAAUGUUCUGUACAUAUUCAGAUGUCUGUGUAGAUUCAUAUUCAGAGUUUUAUUAUUAUGCGAGUCACCUGGUGCACAACCUGCUGCAAAGCGACAGAUCAGGAGCAGUCGCUGAUGCUUUUAGAGAAACUUAUGCCAAAUCAAUAUAGCCACACUGUGUGUAGCUAUGAAACAGUGGGAGAAAACAAGUUCAAGGCAGCAAUAAAACUGAAGCUGUCCAGUGAAGAGGAGGCAAAGAGAUGGCUUGAUGAAUUCAAGAGGUCGUCAGGGUUCAUAUGGCGGACCUCCAAAACCUACCCUAAUGGAGGGCGCUACAACAAAUUUAGAGUUGACUACAAGUGCAAGACGAUAAAGAAGAACGCAACUUGCCCAGCUACUCUGUUCCUGGUACUGAAACGGCAUCCAGAAUUUGGAGAAAGGAAAUCAAGAUCUGGAGAUCCUCACAUGAAGGAAGGACUCUUCCUUCAUAUUAACUUGCGCAAUGAGCACAACCAUCAUCUCUCAUGUGCUGGACUUGUGAGAAGGGACGUCUCUGGAGAAACGAUCGAAAAACUCAAAAAGCUGUUUGAAAGUGGCCACACUCCUUCAUCAGCUCUCAAAGAACUGAAGCACAAUUUGCAGGUGCAGGAAAAAGACAAUUACGUGAAUGCGGCCGCAGAUCGUUCCGUCUGCCCUGAUUUGCCAUUUUGUUACAGACUGUAUUACAAACUUUUCAAAAAAGCUUACAAUGCCGCUGCGGGAGAAGAGGUCUCCCGCGAGCUUGAACGAACCCUCAUCGAUUACAACAAGGAGCAAGGAGACGUUUGUGCCGGCAUGUGCAAAACCUCCGACAACCAGCUGGUGAUCGCUCUGUGCACUCCGCUGAUGAAGAGGGUCCACGCUCGGGUGAGAGAGAGUGCCGAGGUGAUGUUUGUGGACUCUCCAGGGAACUGUUCCCGCCUUAAUCACCACCUGUUCCUGCUCCUCACUCAUUCCUCAGUGGGUACUUUACCUUUGGGUGCAUUUAUCACGACAUCUGCAACCCAGGCCACUUUUUCUGCUGCCAUGCAGCUGCUACACACCGUCUUUCCACCUGAGAGGUUCUUCGGCCAUCCGGAUGGACCUCUUGUUGUUAUGACCGACGACUCCACUCUACUCAGGCAGGCUUUACAUGAGGCAUUUCCUAAAGCCACCCUGCUCUUUUCGGUACUACACCUUCUUCGGGCCAUGUGGAGAUGGCUCUGGAGCAGUCCAAAUGAAAUACCAAAGCACCACAGGUCCCGACUUCUGAACUCUUUCAGGAUCCUGUUGCGCGCCUCCACGCCAGUAGCUCUCAUGGAGGCCUACAGCAGACUGAUGGAAGAUCCCGUGUCCACCCAGUGUCCAAACUUUGUGCUGCAUCUCCAGGAAGUGUUUGAAAAGCGAGGGGAGUGGGCCAUCUGUCUGCAGGAACAGCUGUCUGCUGUUAGAAACACAGUCAACAGCUGUGAAGAAAGCGUCACGAGGAGGAUAAAAGACAAACUCUUCUAUCGACUCAAGUCACAUAAUCUGACACAGCUGGUGAAAUUUGUUGUCACAAAAAUGGAGGCUCAUUACAUCCACCGGCUGACAGAUGCUGCCAACAACCGGCUCCAAACCGCACAGAAGACGAUGAAGGGGAAGGAGCUGGACAAACAAACUAUUUUGCAGGAAGACGAGGACAGCUACACCGUGACGAGCGCGUCAAACACCGCCGUGUCCUACCACGUUGACAUGUCCAUCAGUUGCUGUACGUGCCCGGCGGGGGUAAUGGGGGGGCACUGCAAGCAUCAAAGUGCCGUCUCCAGGACAUUUGGACACGCCAUCGAAGACGGAUUAUUGCUGGGCUUACCGCCAGAGGCUCGCAAGUUGUAUUAUCAAAUCGCCACAGGAGUGGACAUGGAAGCCGAUGGUUCCGGAAGGUUUCCUGCCGUGGUGGUGAAACCAGCAGCUCAGGCUGGGAGAACAGAGCUUUGUACUGGUGAAGUCAUCUUUGUAGCUGAUGCAGCCGACAGCAUUGUUGAAACCUGGUGUGAGCAAACAGAGUCGUCGCUUAUAGAACCUGAAUCAGGUGAACUCAAACAAAGAUUGGAAAACGUGUUCCUGGACCUCUCGAAGAAACUGGACAACCCCGAGUUCGUGUAUUCUGUCACCUCAUUUGUGGAGUCUUACGAAAGCCUCCAGACAGACGAUCAGCUAGCAUCAGCGCUCUCCUCUUUCGGACAGCGUCUGUAA
rnacentral:lncRNA from 1 species